GAUUCGCUAGCUCAGUAGGUAGAGCACAUCCCUUUUAAGGAUGGGGUCCUGGGUUCGAACCCCAGGCGGAUCACAA
rnacentral:tRNA from 1 species